rnacentral:rRNA from 1 species
UAGAGGAAGUAAAAGUCGUAACAAGGUUUCCGUAGGUGAACCUGCGGAAGGAUCAUUAAAUAAUUUAGAUGGCCUUUGCUAGUUUUCUAGCGAAUGGUUCAUUCUUUUUUACUGUGAACUGUUUUAAUUUUUCAGCGUCUGAGGAAUGUCUUUUAGCCAUAGGGAUAGGCUACUAGAAUGUUAACCGAGCUGAAAGUCAGGCUUAGGCCUGGUAUCCUAUUAAUUAUUUACCAAAAGAAUUCAGUAUUAUAAUUGUAACAUAAGCGUAAAAAACUUAUAAAACAACUUUUAACAACGGAUCUCUUGGUUCUCGCAUCGAUGAAGAACGUAGCAAAGUGCGAUAACUAGUGUGAAUUGCAUAUUCAGUGAAUCAUCGAGUCUUUGAACGCAACUUGCGCUCAAUGGUAUUCCAUUGAGCACGCCUGUUUCAGUAUCAAAAACACCCCACAUUCAUAAUUUUGUUGUGAAUGGAAAUGAGAGUUUCGGCUUUAUUGCUGAAUUCUUUAAAAUUAUUAGGCCUGAACUAUUGUUCUUUCUGCCUGAACAUUUUUUUAAUAUAAAGGAAUGCUCUAGUAAAAAGACUAUCUCUGGGGCCUCCCAAAUAAAUCAUUCUUAAAUUUGAUCUGAAUCAGGCGGGAUUACCCGCUGAACUUAAGCAUAUCAUA